UUAAAGGAAUUGACGGGGGCCCGCACAAGCGGAGGAACAUGUGGUUUAAUUCGAUGAUACGCGAGGAACCUUACCUGGGCUUAAAUGUAGACUGCAUAGCGUGGAAACAUGCUUUUCCUUCGGGACUGUUUACAAGGUGCUGCAUGGUUGUCGUCAGCUCGUGCCGUGAGGUGUCGGGUUAAGUCCCAUAACGAGCGCAACCCUUAUCGUUAGUUGCCAGCGGGUAAUGCCGGGGACUCUAGCGAAACUGCCGGUGUAAACCGAGAGGAAGGUGGGAUGACGUCAAAUCAGCACGGCCCUUAUGUCCAGGGCUACACACGUGUUACAAUGGCCGGUACAGAGGGCAGCUACUGGGUGACCAGAUGCAAAUCUCGAAAGCCGGUCUCAGUUCGGAUCGGAGUCUGCAACUCGACUCCGUGAAGCUGGAUUCGCUAGUAAUCGCGCAUCAGCCAUGGCGCGGUGAAUACGUUCCCGGGCCUU
rnacentral:rRNA from 1 species